UCUAGAACUUGAGAUAUAGGCUGAACAUUGAACAAUGUCUGGGCUGCAGGAUAGAUUCUGAAUUCUCUGUUGUUGCCACCAUUUGAACUCGAUAAUGACACUUUUAAAUCCUGGACUCUUCAUGAAAGUUUUAGGCAUAUGUCUUAACUUUCCAUA
rfam:Populus trichocarpa scaffold_6_contig_106, whole genome shotgun sequence.